CCUACGGGGGGCUGCAGUGGGGAAUAUUGGACAAUGGGCGAAAGCCUGAUCCAGCCACGCCGCGUGUGUGAAGAAGGCCUUCGGGUUGUAAAGCACUUUCAGUGGGGAAGAAAGCCUUGGGGCUAAUACCCUCGAGGAAGGACAUCACCCACAGAAGAAGCACCGGCUAACUCCGUGCCAGCAGCCGCGGUAAUACGGAGGGUGCGAGCGUUAAUCGGAAUUACUGGGCGUAAAGCGCGCGUAGGCGGUCUGAUAAGCCGGUUGUGAAAGCCCCGGGCUCAACCUGGGAACGGCAUCCGGAACUGUCAGGCUAGAGUGCAGGAGAGGAAGGUAGAAUUCCCGGUGUAGCAGUGAAAUGCGUAGAGAUCGGGAGGAAUACCAGUGGCGAAGGCGGCCUUCUGGACUGACACUGACGCUGAGGUGCGAAAGCGUGGGUAGCAAACAGGAUUAGAUACCCCAGUAGUC
rnacentral:rRNA from 1 species